rnacentral:rRNA from 1 species
AAUUCGAUUGAGUUUGAUCCUGGCUCAGAACGAACGCUGGCGGCAUGCCUAACACAUGCAAGUCGAACGAGACCUUCGGGUCUAGUGGCGCACGGGUGCGUAACGCGUGGGAAUCUGCCCUUGGGUUCGGGAUAACAGUUGGAAACGACUGCUAAUACCGGAUGAUGACUUCGGUCCAAAGAUUUAUCGCCCAGGGAUGAGCCCGCGUAGGAUUAGCUAGUUGGUGAGGUAAAGGCUCACCAAGGCGACGAUCCUUAGCUGGUCUGAGAGGAUGAUCAGCCACACUGGGACUGAGACACGGCCCAGACUCCUACGGGAGGCAGCAGUGGGAAUAUUGGACAAUGGGCGAAAGCCUGAUCCAGCAAUGCCGCGUGAGUGAUGAAGGCCUUAGGGUUGUAAAGCUCUUUUACCCGGGAUGAUAAUGACAGUACCGGGAGAAUAAGCCCCGGCUAACUCCGUGCCAGCAGCCGCGGUAAUACGGAGGGGGCUAGCGUUGUUCGGAAUUACUGGGCGUAAAGCGCGCGUAGGCGGCUUUGUAAGUCAGAGGUGAAAGCCUGGAGCUCAACUCCAGAACUGCCUUUGAGACUGCAUCGCUAGAAUCGUGGAGAGGUGAGUGGAAUUCCGAGUGUAGAGGUGAAAUUCGUAGAUAUUCGGAAGAACACCAGUGGCGAAGGCGACUCACUGGACACGUAUUGACGCUGAGGUGCGAAAGCGUGAGGAGCAAACAGGAUUAGAUACCCUGGUAGUCCACGCCGUAAACGAUGAUGACUAGCUGUCGGGGCUCAUAGAGUUUCGGUGG